GGGGUCUAGACUAUCAAAUAGUCAAGUAUCAGGGGGUAAUUAGCACCAAAUUAAUCCAGCUGUGCACCGAAUGAACAGUGCUAAGUUCAGGAGAGAACUUCUCUAUCUUUCGAUACAAAAAUGAACACAAUUUUGUUGGAUGAGGGACUUAUCAUUUAGAAUUAUCAUACUAAUUGUAGCACUAGCCUGGGGAUUGUUGCUAUACAUAGCUAUGCUGCAGUAGCUUGCAAAAUCCCAAUGGUAUAAGGAAGAUGUAAAAAAAAAUUGAUCCAUGACUUUUUACUCUGUCACAAGAUUUACUUAUAUCCGGAUUCAGUUGUAUCCAAAGUAUCAAGCGCUUCCUUUUCAGGAAUUACUUGACUACAUAGGUGCACUUUCAAGAUUUCUUCUGAUAGCUUCCUGUGCAGUAAGUACUAGAACUUAUCCCCUAUGCUGCCUAACCCCCCACCCCCCAGCUAAAAGGAAAAAGACUGCAGUCAGCACUAGAAACAACUUGGAUUAAUUCAUGUUUUACCUGAAGACUAUACUCUGCUCGGCAUUAGGCAUCUAGAAACAAUGGUGAAGCCAGAAAGUUUGCUAAGGAUUUAGUAUAAGAAGUAAUAUUUGACCUAUAUACACAAAAUAAUUUUUUGGUGAAGGGUAUUCAGCGGGCCACCCUUGAGCCCAUGUGGCACCAAUGAGCUACGCUAAUUCACAGAUCAAAAAGAGCAACCAGAAGAGACAAAAUUUGUAGACAAAAAGUGUGCAUCUUCAGGAAGUAUAAUUUUUAGGGGUAUCGCCCUGAAGGAAAUUGUUGUACUGCUACUGAAUUUUUUUUGAAAACUAUGUUUAUUGUGCAAUCUUAGGUUUCCUGUGAUCCAAUUUUUGGGUGCCAACAUGGAAAAGUUUGCUUUGCCAAAAAGGGAAGAUGAUCAUUAAGUUCUAAAUUGAAGUAAAAGAUAAUAUCAGCAAAUGUGAACAAUUAAAUAGUCGAUGGGAAACCUAUGGUACAACUGGAAAAAGCUGAAGUCGAGGAGGAGGAAGCUAAAUGGAAGUGUGCCUUAGUGGUGUACAUUCUGGGUGACGGUCCUGGCUUCAAUGCAAUGAGAAGAUUCAUUAGUCACCACUGGUCUCAAGUCCCCGAACCAGAUUUGUUCUAUCAUGACGAAGGGUACUACAUUGUGAAAUUCAAGAAUGUGGCAGAUGCCAAAGAGAUUAUGUGUGUAAGUCCCCGAACCAGAUUUGUUCUUUCAUGAUGAAGGGUACUACAUUGUGAAAUUCAAGAAUGUAGCUGAUGCCAAAGAGAUUAUGUGUGCUAG
rnacentral:lncRNA from 1 species